UUUCAUUUUAUAUACCAACAUUUAUUGAUAUGUACAUAAGAGGUACAACACUUAGCAAAGUAUAUUAUAUUCACAUUGUCAUGUAUAAAUAAUUUUCAGUUUUAUACAUAAGGUACAGAAAAUAAUGGAACGGUUAUAAAGCAUCAUUGAAACACCCUAGGAAAGUCAGACAUGGAAGAAAAGUCACAUUAAAAACACACGCGUCACGAAGGAAGAAUUCUCUAUGACAACAUAAAUGAUGGGGCUAAGGAGAAAAUUCUCACUGAUUAGUCAUCCACACAAUAUCGAACCAUACACAUUCUAAUUAAGCUAUUCUAGCUAAGCAACAGGACUAUUUAGGAGGUUUUACGUUACUUCAAUAUUUUUACACAGGUACAAUUUACUAAUUGUAUUUUGAUUUAAAAAUUUACAAGUUUCCAGUUCCAAGUUUUUUCUAUGACUUAGAAAAUCUGACUCCGAAAUAGAGGUUGACAGAAGUGUGAUAAUUCUUAAUUCUUAAGUAAUCAUUGCUGUAUUAUUAGUGUAUGCUUUAUAAAAGAUUACGUGUUUUUGCUGUACAUUGCAAAAUUGAACAUCGUGUUGCUUUUGUUUGUUUUUUGUUUGUUUUUCUUUAAUAAACCAGGAGUUUUUGAUAAUCAACACAUUUUUCACAAGUUUUGGAAAAUGUGCCCCAACGCAACUAUUUUGUAAGCUGAACUAUUAUGGCCUUAAAUGUAAAUGUAAUUUUCUUGUCAGUUAUCCACAAUACCCGUUUAGUCAAUUGAUCCUGUUUUCUGCAAAAUUUUAAAUACCGGUUGGGAACUCUGGUGCUAACAGUGCAGAUUUCAAAUUUUAAGAACUCCCGAUGUCACAUGAUAUCAGUUUCACAAAAGAAUAUGUAAGAUGGUGAUAUUUUUUACACUUUAGCAUCGAAUCGUUUUAUUGCUUGGCAGAUCUGUUUAACUGAGUGAACAUCAUAUUUUUAUACAACCUCCAUUUAUUUUGAAUAGAUCAGAGAAACCAACAGCUAAGAUAUAUUUAUAUGGUGGCUGAAUCAACCCAGCAGAUAAUAUUUACCAUGAUUUCAGAUGACAUCACCCAAGAAAUUAAAUGUACAAUCUCUUUUUCCCAUUUAAAGGAAGCUCUGAUGUUACGAACAAAUGGUGGUAUGACUAACCUGCUACAUUAAUUGUUAGACUGCAACUCCUACUAUCCUGGCAGUGUAUGGGUAUAAUAUUUAUGGGAGCUGAAGUCAAAUAACAUCAGGUGGUAAUGUUCAGGUAGUUUGACGCAAUGCACAUAGAAACAGAAACAGCAUUUGUUCUGUUUUUGCGCAGUGAUCGAUAGAUGCUAGAAAAAUGCAGAUCGAAAGACUACCUCAUUCAUGUUAUAUUGUAAAUAUGAAAUUUAGAACAUACUGAUGUAAGCAGAAGCUAGUCACAAGUUGGUUUGUUCCGUUACGAGAUACCUUCUAAAUACUUCAAAACACAUUACCCUUGAGGUUGUGUGUUUAUAUCAGACUAACAUUAUAUUGGAACGACAGGCUUUUGAGGUUGUUAGACUUGAUAAACGCGCAGGCUUCUAAAAGCUUGUUACUUUAAAAAAAUACUGUUACUCUAACAUAGGGAUAGGCAACCUUUGGCACUCCAGAUGUUGUGGACUACAUCCCCCAUAAUACUCUUACACCCAUAAUGCUGGCAAAGUAUCAUGGGAGGUGUAGUCCAAAACAUCUGGAGUGCCGAAGGUUGUCUAUGCCAGCUCUAACAGAUUAUAACAGUCCAUUAUUUUAUAUCCCGAUCAGUAGGUAAAAUGGAUCGAUCUACUCAAUGUAUCGGUGUUAAUAUGUUAUUAACGUAAUUAUGAAAAGUCAGGUUACAAAUAUUUAUUAAAUUGUUUAGGAGAUAAAAUAUCUGAAUUUCUCCUUUCCCAAUGGAUCAAAUAAAUUCUAGUUUAGAAUUCUGGCGACCGAUGACAGGCUUCCACUAUAUAACUUAUAUUGGUUUUAUUAUAGUCCAUUCUGAGCCAGAAUUCUGUAAAGUAGCUACAGACUCCAAUAGGCUUGUUAUUUGAGAUUUAUUUACCAGUAUACAAGGGUGGGCUGGACGGCUGGGCCAAGAGUUUUUCUCUAAUGCCUGCAUUAGUGUAAUACAUAGUUUAGGUGUAAAGUGGAUCCAUUGAACAUAGCCAUUCCUUGGCUACUCAAGACAUCUACAGAAACCGGCCUGUUAACAUUCUACAUUGUGAAAGUGAAGCUAUAUGUUUUUCAUAUGUGCGUACUUUCCAAAUAGUUUAAAUGUAUCUUGGGCACAAAUAUUCACCAAAUAUUCAAUACCCAAUUAACUAAACUUGCCAUUGCCACACAGGUGUGACAGACUGCCUGGAACUGCAUGUAGUCCCUCCCUGGCCAGUGGAAUUUGACACAUCCCUGGGAGGGAAGGGUUAAUGACAUAUAGCCUUGAGGUCAACAUGUUUUCACAACUACUUGUGCUAUUUUCACUAACCAUAUCUGUCUACGGCUCUAACAUGCCAAGUUAUAUAAUAACAAUUCUACCAAGCCUACACACUUUUUAAAUUUCUAUUGCACAUCAAAAAUCACUAGUCAUAUAUUAACAAAUAAAAAUGUGUAUAAAUUCUAUGAAACGUCUAUUACACGCUGUAAUCCAUGUCACUUCCAUUAUACUGUGAAAUCACAUGUAUUGCUGCCUAAACGACCAUAACUGGCAUUCAGGUAUAUUUACAAAGCAUGGUAACCUCACAGUUAUGGGUUAGGGAUAUAAACAAAUGUACCGGCAGCCCAUCAUUUGAAAAGAUUAUAGUGGGUGAUAUGUGGAAGGGUAACUGUCACGAUAUCUACAUACAGAGUACACACACACACAUACACACACUUGAAGGAAAAGUACUUAGAAUUCAGACAUUCUGAACGGAACACAGACAUUUCAGAGAAUGUCUAUCCCUUUCCGGUAAUGGCGUUCCCAUGCUAUACAGUGAAUUGCAAAGAAUGGACAACCAAUUCACAAAAUUUAGGCUAAAUAUUAGAGUUGAAUAAAUUCUCCAAUCUGCUACUUCUAGCCUUUACUGAUAAGCAAAUCAUUCUCCAAACUGUAAAAUGAGGAUUUGUUAAGAUAUUGCCCAUAACUUUGAGGAGUUCUACCUAAAUUAUAAAAUAACCAGUUUAAAGAAACACUAUAGGCACGUAUUGAGAUGAAGUAGUCUGGGCGCCAUGUUUUUGUCUGCCUAAUCUUGCAAUAUCAAUCAUUGUCGAAUGGCAGUGUUUUCAUAGCAGGGUUUAAAUGCCCCUAGUGGCUGUCCCUCUGUCAGCCACUACAGAUGCUUUUUCCAAACUAGCCGAGUAAAACUAUUUCUAUCUGAUGGGCUCAUUCCAAACAAGUCUUACUUUAGUAACUAACCCUAUAAAACCUAUAUUUUGAAAUCUCCAAGAAAACCAUAUGACCGUUAUAAAAACCACGAGAAGGUGUUGAUCUAAGAGAUGUAACUAGCACAAAGCAGAAACUGCUCCAUGUGGCUUGAUUAACAGAAAUAUUUAACUUCUACAGAUUGCUCAUCGCUUAGCAUUCUUUUAUAGCUAUUAAGAAAAACAGGGUCUUGAGACCGGGAACGUUAAUUCCAAGAACAUAUAUUUUAAUGCAGAAACAAAGACAUGAUCUUUGGGAAGAAAUGAAUGUGUUGGGUUACUAAGCAGUGUGCACCUGAGCAAUAUUAAAGGAACAAUACAGUCAACAUAACCACUACAGCUCGCUACAGUGGUGAUGGUGCCGGGAGUCCACUUACACCCCCUCUGUAUUGUAAGUAGUCAAACCAUUUUUGAACGUUCUGACUUCUUACCUGGAGUCCACUGGGAGCUGCUCCCCACCUUCACUGCCGUGUUUCUUUAAGUAAAGGGAUGCAUCGAAUUUAAAAUAAUUGUGUUUAAUAUCUCUGUAAGCUAUAAAUGUUGGUCGAAAUUUGUAUAUAAUUAAAACCUAUACUGUGCUAACAAGAUCCUUGUUCUCAUAGCUGUAAUCAGGCUACUGAACACCUAACAGGGUUAAAUACAGCAAGUUGUCUUUAACCAGUGUAGUUUAAGUUUAAAGGGACACGGUAGUCACCAAAACAUCUUUAGCUUAAUGAAUCAGUUUGGGUGUAUAGAUCACGCCUCUGAAGUUUCACUGCUCAAUUUAUUGCCAUUAAGGAGCUAAAUCACUUUUGUUUCUGUUUAUGCAGUCCUAGCCACAUCUCCCCUAGCUUUGACUCACACAGCCUGCAUGAAAAAAAUGUUUAGUUUCGAAUCAGAUGUAACUUACUUUAAAAAGUUUUUAUUUCAUGCUCUGAAAAUUGAACUUUAAUUAUAUAAAGGAGACUCCUGCAGAAUCUAGCAAGCUUUUACAGAGCAGGAGAUAAGAAAUUCUAAAUUAUACAGGAUUUGCAAUAAAGGAAGUGUAAACAUAGGAAAUUCAUGCAAAUAUUAAACUUACAAAUACUUAGAGUGACACACUAGAGUGACUUCUCCUUUAACAAAAAAAUAGCUGCACAUAGUGUUUGCUAACAAAUGUUCUUUAUUAUUCUGAAGACUUGCUGGCAUAAUCUGUUGCCAAGCAAAGGAUUAGGACACUCCAGGAGCCAAGAUGGCAAAGUGAACAGACCUUUUUGCAAGGUUUCACUGGCCUGAAUGCUUGUAAUCACAUAAAUUAAGGGGCAAUAGGAUAGAAAACCUUGCAUUAAAGGAACCACUUGUGCUUUAAUAUGUCCUAAGUCAUAUUUGUUUUAGAUCGGCUCAGUUCUGCAUAUCUUAUAUAGCAUAACUUUGUUCUUGCUUUUUUGGGCAUAGUCACAAACCAGGAAUCUGUGGUGAGCUGACAACUGACUUUUUAACGUUACAUUUUACACCAAAAAGAAACCAAUUUUUUUUAUUCCAAAAUCUCCAUCAUGCUAUUUAGAACUCAGCUGAGCAAUUCAUCUGUCAAAUCAGCAAAACACAUUAUAAUGCAUAACCCCGUAGACAAGAGGUUAUUACACAAAUGUAGACAAAUUCGUAUUGCUGUUUUAAUGUAUUUAAUAUAUUGCAGCUAAUUGAUGGAUACUGAUUGGUCCUUCGAGAUUAGUCUGUGGUCCUCUUUUUGUCCUAAUGGGGUUAAACAUUAAAAUAGAAUUUAUUGAUGUCCCAAUUAUGAUGAAAUGGGUUCAACUGCGUAAAUAGAACACAUGCAUUUCAAAAAAACAAAUGGGGCUUAAUAAACUUGUAUUUGAGUAGACAAGGGAAUUGUAAAUGUUGAGUCAAAUUAGCUAUAUCAGACAAAAAUAAAAUUGUGAUUUCUCUGGCUCAGCUAUUUUCGUGUAAAAUUUACAGUAACCUUAUCAACUGUCUACAAUUCAUAUUUAGUAAAUAAAAACAAUCUGAUAAUAACGGAAUAGAUCAUAUCGUGUUCUGGCUUGUUUGAUAGACCGGAAGACCUGACCUCAGGAUAAAUAAAUUAACGGUUUGAGGUAGUAGUUCUUAAAAAAAUAUAUUGAAAAAUGAUUUUCAUAUUUAUGGAUAAACAAAUUAUUAUUAACUUAUUAUUUAAUAUUAUUCAAAAUAUUAAA
rnacentral:lncRNA from 1 species